UCAAGUUACUAAGAGCAUAUGGUGGAUGCCUUGGCACGAGUAGGCGAUGAAGGACGUGGUAAGCUGCGAUAAGCCCCGGUGAGGUGCAAACGACCGUAGACCCGGGGAUGUCCGAAUGGGGAAACCCGGCUCGGGUAAUGCCGAGUCACUCCCUGCUGAAUCUAUAGGCAGGGUAGAGCGAACGGAGGGAACUGAAACAUCUAAGUACCUCCAGGAAAAGAAAUCAAUUGAGAUUCCCUGAGUAGCGGCGAGCGAAAGGGAAAGAGCCCAAACCGCGCACAUGUAAGCCCGAUUGCGUUGUGGGCGCGGGGUUGCGGGGUCAGAAAGGAUGCGGAUUCGGCCGUGUCGAGCAGUGAAAAAGCUUUUACAUAGUCGAAGGGAUCUGGAAAGAUCCGACCAUAGAGGGUGAAAGUCCCGUAGACAAAAUGGAAAAGUCUGCUUGUUUCUGAUUCCCAAGUACCGCGGGACCCGAGAAAUCCUGCGGGAAGCUGGGAGGACCACCUUCCAAGGCUAAACACUCACUCGUGACCGAUAGUGUACCAGUACCGUGAGGGAAAGGUGAAAAGCACCGGGGAACCGGAGUGAAAUAGACCCUGAAACCAUAUGCUUACAAGCAGUUGGAGUUCCGAGCAAUCGGAAUAACAGCGUGCCUUUUGUUUAAUGAGCUGGCGAGUUGCUCGUAUGUUGCAAGGUUAAGGCGUUCAGCGCCGGAGCCGUAGCGAAAGCGAGUCUGAAAUGGGCGACUAGUAACAUGCGGCAGACGCGAAGCCGGGUGAUCUAUCCAUGUCCAGGAUGAAGUCCCGGUAAAACGGGAUGGAGGUCCGAACCCACCAAAGUUGAAAAUUUGGGGGAUGAGGUGUGGAUAGGGGUGAAAGGCCAAUCAAACUCGGAGAUAGCUCGUUCUCCCCGAAAUAGCUUUAGGGCUAGCCUUGCGACAGAGUAUCGGAGGUAGAGCACUGACUGGGUUAGGGCCCUUAUCAGGGUACCAACCCCAAUCAAACUCCGAAUGCCGAUACUUCGAUUCGCAGGAGUCAGGGAGUGAGGGAUAAGCUUCAUUCCCAAGAGGGAAACAACCCAGACCGUCGGUUAAGGCCCCUAAGUACAGGCUAAGUGUAUCAAAGGAUGUGAAAUUGCACAGACAACCAGGAUGUUGGCUUAGAAGCAGCCACCAUUUAAAGAGUGCGUAAUUGCUCACUGGUCAAGUGGUUUUGCGCCGAUAAUCCAUGGGACUCAAGCCUGUUGCCGAAACUGCGGGAUCAUUCCUUAUGGAAUGAUCGGUAGGGGAGCGUUCCAUAGUAGGUUGAAGCGGAGCCGUGAGGUUUCGUGGACGAGAUGGAAGUGAGUAUGCCAGCAUGAGUAGCGAUAAACCAGGUGAGAAUCCUGGUCACCGAAAAUCUAAGGUUUCCUGAGUAAAGUUCGUCUUCUCAGGGUUAGUCGGAACCUAAGCCGAGGCCGACAGGCGUAGGCGAUGGAAAACAGGUGAAAAUUCCUGUACCACCCGUAUCUCGACCAAGACACGAUGGGGUGACGCAGAAGUGAAAAGCCAGCCGGAAAGUGGAUUGCCGGUCUAAGUGUGUAGGAGGGAGCUUCAGGCAAAUCCGAUGCUCCAUUACUCCGAGGCACGAAUGAGAGGGCUCAGCCCACAAAUUGGCUGUAAUCAGACUGCCAAGAAAAGCCUCUAAGUGAGAGAUAUAGGUGUCCGUACCGCAAACCGACACAGGUAGAUGGGGAGAGUAUCCUCAGGUGCGCGGGUGAGCUCUGGUUAAGGAACUAGGCAAAAUUACCCCGUAACUUCGGGAGAAGGGGUACCCUGAGUAUGUGAAGCUUUACGCGAGCGAAGCAGAAAGGGGUCACAGUGAAAUGGCCUGGGCGACUGUUUACUAAAAACACAGGUCUCUGCCAAGCCGAAAGGCGCAGUAUAGGGACUGACACCUGCCCGGUGCCGGAAGGUUAAGGGGAGAGGUCAUCUUGCUUCGGCAGGAGAAGCUUUGAACUGAAGCCCCGGUAAACGGCGGCCGUAACUAUAACGGUCCUAAGGUAGCGAAAUUCCUUGUCGGGUAAGUUCCGACCUGCACGAAUGGUGUAACGACUUGGGCGCUGUCUCAACCAGAGGCCCGGCGAAAUUGUAGUACCGGUGAAGAUGCCGGUUACCCACGACGGGACGGAAAGACCCCGUGAACCUUUACUAUACCCUAGCAUUGGGUUUCGGUAUUGCACGUGUAGGAUAGGUGGGAGACUUUGAAGCGGGCACGCCAGUGUUCGUGGAGUCAACCUUGAAAUACCACCCUUGCUCUAUUGAGAUUCUAACCCAGACCCGUGAAUCCGGGUCGGGGACCAUGCUAGGCGGGUAGUUUGACUGGGGCGGUCGCCUCCCAAAAUGUAACGGAGGCUCCCAAAGGU
rnacentral:rRNA from 1 species